UGUGUGCAGUCCCAUUUGAACUCUGGGGCUGGGGAAGGCAGUUUUUGCCCCCCUCCCCUUACUUUCUUAACUGCUGUUCAGCUUCUUGUGCUUAAUGAGGCUUUUCCAGGAGGAAAACUAGCAAACACACAAAACAAGGAACAGGAGGAAGCUGAGAGGGCAAGAAGUGGUCUGACCUCGCUGUACGUCCUUCCCUCAGCACAGGUGCUCAUGUACUCCAGGCUGGUGGUUAAGUAACUAAGGAUAACUUUGAACUUCUGAUCCUCUUGAUUUUGAUGACUUUGAACUUCUGAUCCCUCCUGAGUGGUGGGAUUAUAGGUGGUGUUCCCCUGUCCUAUUUAUUCAGUGCUGAGGCUGGAAUUCAAGGCUCUGUGCAUGCUAGCACACAUUCUGCUAACUGAGCUACCUGCUCAGUUCCUUAUAUACCUCCUUCUAUGCUACCUCUGCAGAAAUCCAGUUCCAUCUGUGGGUACUCAUGUCUGAAUGGAUGUUUCAGGGAUUUCACUUUCCCUUUGCAGACAGGUCUAUUGGUUCUUGCCUUCUUUUUCUUUUCUACUGAGUCAAAAUCCCAUGUAGCUCAGAGUUCCCUCAAACUUCACAUUUUGCCAAGGGUGUUCUUAUAAUGUUUGCUCUUUCUGUUUCUGCCUCCCAAGUGCUCAGAUUAUAGGCAUGCAUUAUCUCAUCUGGCUUGCACUUUACCUUUUUAUU